rnacentral:rRNA from 1 species
GCUUGUCUCAAAGAUUAAGCCAUGCAUGUCUAAGUAUAAACAUUUUUAUACCGUGAAACUGCGUACAGCUCAUUAUAUCAGUAAUUAUUUCUUUGAUGGUACCUUACUACAUGGAUAACCGUAGUAAUUCUAGAGCUAAUACAUGCGUUCAAGUCCCGACCGCUUGCGGAAGGGAUGUAUUUAUUAGAUACAAAAUCAAUGGGCGGGCAACCGCUCUCAUUGGUGACUCAUAGUAACUGAUCGAAUCGCAUGGCCUUGCGCCGGCGAUAGUUCAUUCAAAUUUCUGCCCUAUCAGCUUUCGACGGUAGUGUAGUGGACUACCGUGGCGUUAACGGGUGACGGAGAAUUAGGGUUCGAUUCCGGAGAGGGAGCCUGAGAAACGGCUACCACAUCCAAGGAAGGCAGCAGG